UUCUUCAUUCUUCAUAAACAACAAACUACUGUUCUUCAUAUUAUUAACCCCUUAAACUUAUUAAAUGCUUAUUAUUCAGUUAUAUUAUAUUAAUCAGUAACUGCUAUGACUUAUUCAGUAACUACAGUGAGACCAGUAGGAGAGGUGUGUAUGUAGUUACAAAAUUCUGGACCUGCCAAUAGUUCCAGGGAGAUUACAUAUUAAAGUAUAAAAUAAAUUGAGAUGUGCUGUUAUAGGAGGAAAAAACCCAAAACAAUCUAUGACGGGGUGGUGUGACGCAGCCACUUGAAUAACAGUACAUCCUGAAGUGUCUUACUGCUCUUAUACCACAGGAAUCUGCCCAUGUUUCCAUUGUUUUUUUACUUGUUUAAAUUACAAUGUAUUUUUUUUUUUAUCCAUUUAGAGUUACAUUUAAUGUUGAAUGACCUAUAAGACUUUUCCUCUGAUUGUUACAAAGUGUUACAAAUGCUGGAGACUCCUUUCUUAAACGUUAAAUGUCUCCUUACAGAAAGCUUCGCCAUGUGAAUGCUUAUAGGUCUUUCUCUCUUGUUUUAUUUUAUUUCAUUUAUUUAUAUUUAAAUCAGUUUAUUAUUAUUAGACUUAUGGUACAACUGUCAGAGCCAUGCAGUCAUAUAGACAAUUACUCAACAACUUCAGACCAAUCAACAUCAAGAAUUCAACAACACUGUGGCAUAAUAAUGUCAUAUAAGUUCAUAACGUAAUAACUGAAUCAAUAUCAGUCCACUAACACUGUGCAAUUUUGACUUAAAUGUAUGGCGUCACAUUAAUGUAAAAACAAAUUCGCUAACGGUGGGCAAAUGGAACAUUUUGUGUGUGUUUGAAUUUCGUAUUUAAAUUUGCUUUUAAAUAAUGUAUUCUUGGAUCGUAUGUAUCAGCUGAGUUAAAGCUUGUGGUCAUGUUUGAUAACUGAUCAACUAAAGACACUGAGUGGACUUUGGAGCCACACGCAGAGCUUUACAGAUAAAGCAGAAUGCGCUGAGAGGGUUAGAUAGCACUGACACGGCCAGGUGGCUACUGCUGAAGAAGAAGCCGGCAGACUGACAGGCCCAACUGGCUUUCUUCUCGGUUUAUCCAGGUCUCCUUUCUCACAGGCUGCCACUCAGAUGUCCUUCACUAUGCCACAACCUGAGUGGUUGUGGGGAGCCUGGAGUCUAUCCCAGGGAAGUCAGGGCUCAAGGCGGAGGACACCCUGGACGGGAUGCCAACCCAUCGCAGUGCCCAAUCACACACCCAAUCACACACUACGGACAAUUUGGAAAUGCCAAUCAGCCUACAGUGCAUGUCUUUGGACUGGGGGAGGAAACCAGAGUACCCAGAUUAAACCCCCGAAGCACGUGGAGAACAUGGAAGCUCCGUGCAAACAGGAUGGAAGUAGGAAUCAAACCCCCAACCGUGGAGGUGCCACCGUACCCUCCCAAAACAGUUAUUCAUGUCUGUUAUAUUGGAACUAGCUUGUUUCUUGGAUGUUCCACAAAACUGAAUGUAACUAUAAAUGUUAUGAAUUAAUAUUUAAUAAAGAUUAAUGUUGUAA